GACGUCCAAUAUCGACGUCAUAAACACCAAACUUGUUCGUGUUUAUGACGUCGUAUAACGACGUCAUAAACACCAAACUUGUUCGUGUUUAUGACGUCGAAUAUCGAUGUCAUAAACACCAAAGUUGAUCGUGUUUAUGACGUCGAAUAUCGACGUCAUAAACACCAAAGUUGAUGGUGUUUAUGACGUCGAAUAUCGACGUCAUAAACACCAAAGUUGAUCGUGUUUAUGACGUCGAAUAUCGACGUC